GAAUAAAAUCUGAGCAGGCGCGUC
rnacentral:siRNA from 1 species